CAGUCAUAAAACGAUUCAAGCUUUGCAAAGGAACUGCUGUUGAGGGAUGGGACAGUUAAAAACACUUGGACCCUGGAUCAAAAACAUUUACCUGCCCCUGUACGUCUUGUAAAGAAAAGAAGAAGACGACGCUGCCUGAUUCUGAUCAGCAGACAGAAAUAUGCUGCCAGGUCAUCGGACGCUUUGCCAGUAAAAGUUUGGCUUCUACUCAAUAAGGAAGGCUAUUAGUUAUAAUCUGACCAACAUGAUGUAGUGUUUGGUCACGCUACACCGCUACUUGCUGGAAAAAGUAGUUCGCUACUGUUAAGCUACUCUGUUUUAAAAGCAGCUGAGCUACUGUCAAGCUACUGAAAAUGUAGUUAAGCUAGUAGCGUUGCUACACGUAGUUAGCUACUCCCCAACACUGUUGGCAGUAGUAGUGCCAGCGCGUGCAGCGCAAAAUGUAACGGGACAUCUGUUUACUGUUGAUGCGACGUGCCGCAACAGCAUCAUUGAUUAUAAUGGGUUCUACUGCUUUUGACUCUCGCAUCUGGUGUAGACAGGGUGUGAGUGUUAACAGUUGUGCUAGAGAUGAACAGUUUAAUAUAUUCAGAUGCAAUGUGUUGGAUGUGCGUUAUGUGUAAACCCUGAAAUUUAGUUUUAUAAUGUUGUGGAGCUUGUUCAUUGUAUACCGUUGCUUGGCUAUUUAGAAUUUAAUUUUACCCCUGAAAGAAGAACGAAGAAGAACUUCUCCGGAAGUGUAUCGGGGCCAUUAGUGUUGUCAGCCUCUCUUUCUUACAGUGCAUUCAAGCUGUACAUUUAAUCAGUAUGUUUAUCCAACAGCACAUCUGACUACAGGAACUACAUUUUUCAAGGAUGUCCUUAAAGUGUCCUCCUGACAGCAGGAGAAUUUUCUGAAAAUCUAAAUAAAUCAAGAGUCAGCAAAAGUCUGACACACACACACAUCAGCUUAAGACUCACUGAGAACAUGAACAGAACGUUAAAAUAUUAAAAGCCAGAAAGAUGCAGAGAUGAUCAGAGAGAGACAGAGACUAGAUGAAUAGAUUGUUUAAAAAAAUGAAACAAAUGAAACAUCAUAAAUGUAAAACAACUUCCGGUUGUGUUCUAGAAUUGAAGGCAAUUAUUCCAUCACAUUCUAGUAACAACAUAUAGAUUCCUCUGUUGCCAUGGAAAUGAGUAUUCCAAACAUCAGGGAGAAAAUAUAAGCUCAUAAUUCCUCAAUCAAUAACAGGGAUGUACUGCAAUAAUUCAUGAUAAUAAUCAUAGACACAACAGACCAUGUCAAACAAGAUGCAAUGGAAGUGAAUGGUGACUGAGGCUUUUAUUCCUAGCAUCUCUUGUGCUCCAUGAAAGAAAGAAUGUCAUGCAGAUUUGAAACAAUAUGAGAGCAAAUAAAUAAUUAAUUUUCAUUUUUGGGUGAACUAUUCCUUCAGCAACACAUUAUACAAACCCAGGAUGGGAGGAAAGAAUGACAAUGUUCACAUGCUCCAACAUCAAAGACAAGAUCUAAACGACUUCUGCAGGGUCAGCUGGCUUUAACCCUCAUAAACUUGACAUUUGACCUAAUUUUUUUUAGAAUCAGACAUGAUAUUUGUCUCAUCUCUCUUUUAAAGUUUUGUGAAAGUCAGUACAUCGGUCUGACUCUGUGGCCGAUAUCAGCUGCACGUGGACAGUUACUGUAUUAGCAGGAAUGAUUUUUCAUUGAUUUCUCCAUAAACACGCUGCAUUAAGACACAAUAAAGGCACACAGGGAAGCCAUUAGAGCACUUCCUGUCUUGACUCGAUGCUUACAGCUGCACUAAUGGAAAAGCACACUGUAAAGAUCUGAUGAAAAGAGACAGAAAAGUCAGUCCAGAAUUAAAAACCUUUAAACUCAAAAUGUUUAUAAUCUUAUGAUUUUUGUUUUUUUGUCCUACCUUUGUAAGCAUGUAAUUCUGGUU